UACGUAGGGGGCAAGCGUUGUCCGGAUUUAUUGGGCGUAAAGAGCGUGUAGGCGGCCAGACAGGUCCGUUGUGAAAACUCGAGGCUCAACCUCGAGAUGUCGAUGGAAACCGUCUGGCUAGAGUCCGGAAGAGGAGUGUGGAAUUCCUGGUGUAGCGGUGAAAUGCGCAGAUAUCAGGAAGAACACCAAUGGCGAAGGCAGCUCUCUGGGACGGUACUGACGCUGAGGCGCGAAAGCGUGGGGAGCAAACAGG
rnacentral:rRNA from 1 species